ensembl:tRNA
GAGUUUUGGCUCGACUGGUAAGAGGUGUGACUUGUGAUCAAUAGGUCCGGGGUUCGACCCCUCGUAAGGGUCA